rnacentral:lncRNA from 1 species
AGACAAUCCCUUACAUUAACGCAUAAUCGUACUGUGGGACAGGAGUGAAGUAUGUACUCUGUCCACCGUACCAUGCAUAGUUCGUUCGCCUAACAAUCACUUUAUUCUGAUGGUUUGGACUUUUAAUCACAAAAGAAUGCAUUUAAGGAUGUUUGCUCCUCUACUUUUUGAAUUUUUGUCAGAUUUUCGGGAUCCUCUGGUUUCAUCCAUGUAUUAACAUAAAAAAAAAUUUGCCCACUAACCCCCACUUUUCUUUUCACAUUUUUAUUACAUACAAUUUAUAAAGCCAUAUUUCAAAAUCUUAUGAAAUCCUUGUUAUUUUUUCAUAGUUUUUUAAACAAAAAAGGUGUUAAUGUUAAAUGUAAGAAAAAUCUAGAGAGAAUUAUUUCCCGCCAAAUUUUCAAUGGCUUAUAUCUCGAAAACAAGCACACGGACCCACCAUUUUUUUCUGCUUUUUUAGUUUCUUUAUUUAUAUACUAUCAAUUUAUAACAGUCUUUUAAAAAGCUUGUUAUUUUGAAACAGAGUAGCGAACAUCCUUAAUGAUAAAAAAUCGAGAAUUAUCACACACUAUUGUACUUGAUAUGUAUUGUUGCAUCUUUUAAUAUAAAACAUUCUACCACACUAUGUUAUUUGCCAAAUGUCAGAUACUUUUUUUACAUUUGUGUAUGUUUGUUUUUCAAUUUUUGUCUGUGAUUGGAAAGAAUGUAAAUAAUCAUGCACAAACGGUAUACUAUGCAACCUGUAAAAAAAUAUGUUUUGCUUGUUGACACUGUUGCUUUGAGGAAACCAUUUUUAUAGUGUCGCCCA